GGGGCCGACCUGGUUUCGACAGCGGCUACGAUGUGCGUGCAAGCAUGCAGAGCGGUGAUGAACGGCUCUUCAAAACGAUCAUCGCGCCCUAACCGGCGAAGUAGACUACGCACUCGCUGCUUAAUAGCCUAAGGCUAUGAGGCUUUAUCCGCGCGAAUAACAGUAACGCGGACGAGUACCCCUCGGGGAGGCCCGCAACCCUCCUUCCCGAACCAGGGGUAUCACCAUGGGAAGCUGGCCGAUGCGGUGGUCCGGAGCAUCGGUGAGACAACAGGACCUAAGUCCUCGCUGGGGUGCCUCUUCCCAGGCGGGGAUCGAAAACCAACAAGAAGGCUAAGCAUGUAGAAAACCCGUGCUUCGGUCGUUUGGACGAGGGUUCGAAUCCCUCCGGCUCCACAA
rnacentral:tmRNA from 1 species